GACAGAGGGGGCAAGCGUUGCUCGGAAUUACUGGGCGUAAAGGGCGCGUAGGCGGGAUGGCAAGUCGGUCGUGAAAUCCCUCGGCUCAACUGAGGAUCGUCGAUCGAUACUGCCGUUCUUGAGGAUUGCAGAGGAGAUUGGAAUUCCCGGUGUAGCGGUGAAAUGUGUAGAGAUCGGGAGGAACACCGGUGGCGAAGGCGGGUCUCUGGGCAAUUCCUGACGCUGAGGCGCGAAAGCGUGGAGAGCAAACGGG
rnacentral:rRNA from 1 species